CAGAAAUGCACAGUUCGGAAGCUCCUGAGGCUGUGUGCUUCUGCAGGAAGCCCCACCUGGGGAAGAGCAACCCAGUAAAACACAGGCGAGCUGAGCUGUUCCUAGAAACCACGGUGGGGAUGAAACCUCAAGAUGAUGGAAGACUGCCCCCCCAUGAGAUGAAGUAAAUACUUGGCUGGCAACCAAAUUCAAGGUAAAGUUGAGGGACCGCAUCCACCCCUCACCAGAUUGUAUCCUCUCCCCUAUCUAAUCUUAUUCCUGCUCACACUCUGUGUCCCAAAAUGAAAUUCCAAGACGAUGGCGGAGUGCCCCCUCACAAUGUGAAGCACCAGCUCAGAUGGAAACUGAAUUUGAGGAUGAAAUCCCAAGACAACAGAGGAGUGCCCUCUUAUGACCUGAAGCACUUGUUCAACUGGGAACCAAAGUGGAGGGGCUCUCUGGGAAAGACAGGAACCACGACAAAGGCAAGUCCAAGGUGGAACAGUGUUCUCACAUCUCGGGCUGGCCUCUCACAGGUGCAGAAGAUGUUGAGACAGUGACGAUGGUAAAGUUGCAGGAACAUAAUCACCAGAUUGUGUCCUCAUCCUUAUCUUACCUUAAUGUUGCUUACACUCUAUGUCCCAGGAUGAAAUUACAAGAUGACGAAGGAGUGCCCCAUCACAACUUGAAGCACCUGCUUGACAGAGAAACAAAUUCAAGGGGGAGGUGAUUUCGAUGCCAGCAUGUCUCAGCCUACCUCCCAAUUCACAGUGGAUUCAUGAUCUGCAGAAAAAUGAAGAACACAAAGCCCUGCAGGUCAAGCAGAACCACACAGACAGGACACCAAAGGGUUGGGAGACAAAAGAAAGAAGUGCUAAAGUGUGUUAGCCACAUUUCUUUAAGCAUGCUAUACUUACAGGCACACAAAGACACAAACACAGCCACAAACAUGCAAGGAAACAAGCACAUUGAUAUCCAACACUCACAACACUCUCACAAAAACACACUUUCUUUCAGCUCAUGAGGUUUUAUGGUUCUGCAGAAAUCCUCACUUUGAAUAGAGCAACCUGGUACAUAGAAAUCACAGUGGGGCAAGUUUCAAAAAGACUCACCCUAAAAUGUGUAGGCAGG
rnacentral:lncRNA from 1 species